AGCUCCAAUAGCGUAUAUUAAAGUUGUUGCAGUUAAAAAGCUCGUAGUUGAAUUUUUUCUCGGAGUGAUGGGUCCUUCACAUGGUGUUGGUACCACUAUCGUGUUCUGGGAAUAAUUGAGGAGAACCUGUGUGGCAUUAGGUUGUUGUGCAGGGGAUCCUUAUCAUUUACUGUGAAGAAAUUAGAGUGUCCAAAGCAGGCUUAUGCCGCUGAAUACAUUAGCAUGGAAUAAUAAGAUAGGGCCUUGAUACUAUUUUGUUGGUUUGCGCAUCAAGGCAAUGAUUAAUAGGGAUAGUUGGGGGUAUUCGUAUUCCAUUGUCAGAGGUGAAAUUCUUGGAUUUCUGGAAGACGAACUACUGCGAAAGCAUUUACCAAGGAUGUUUUCAUUAAUCAAGAACGAA
rnacentral:rRNA from 1 species